rnacentral:rRNA from 1 species
UACGGAGGAUGCAAGCGUUGUCCGGAAUUAUUGGGCGUAAAGCGUCCGUAGGUGGUUUAGUAAGUCUGCUGUUAAAGCGCGGGGCUUAACUCCGUAUCGGCAGUGGAAACUACUAGACUAGAGUGUGGUAGGGGUAGAGGGAAUUCCCAGUGUAGCGGUGAAAUGCGUAGAUAUUGGGAAGAACACCGGUGGCGAAGGCGCUCUACUGGGCCAUAACUGACACUGAUGGACGAAAGCUAGGGGAGCGAAAGGG